rnacentral:snRNA from 1 species
AUUGCUUCUCGGCCUUUUGGCUAAGAUCAAGUGUAAUAUAGUUCAAAAGAUUUUUUUUUUAUGUAGACAUUAA